rnacentral:rRNA from 1 species
AUUGAACGCUGGCGGCAGGCCUAACACAUGCAAGUCGAGCGGAUGAAGGGAGCUUGCUCCUGGAUUCAGCGGCGGACGGGUGAGUAAUGCCUAGGAAUCUGCCUGGUAGUGGGGGAUAACGUCCGGAAACGGGCGCUAAUACCGCAUACGUCCUGAGGGAGAAAGUGGGGGAUCUUCGGACCUCACGCUAUCAGAUGAGCCUAGGUCGGAUUAGCUAGUUGGUGGGGUAAAGGUCUACCAAGGCGACGAUCCGUAACUGGUCUGAGAGGAUGAUCAGUCACACUGGAACUGAGACACGGUCCAGACUCCUACGGGAGGCAGCAGUGGGGAAUAUUGGACAAUGGGCGGAAGCCUGAUCCAGCCAUGCCGCGUCUGUGAAGAAGGUCUUCGGAUUGUAAAGCACUUUCAGUUGGGAGGAAGGGCAGUAAGUUAAUACCUUGCUGUUUUGACGUUACCAACAGAAUAAGCACCGGCUAACUUCGUG